rnacentral:rRNA from 1 species
AGUGAACGCUGGCGGUAGGCCUAACACAUGCGAGUCGAACGGCAGCACAGUAAGAGCUUGCUCUUACGGGUGGCGAGUGGCGGACGGGUGAGGAAUACAUCGGAAUCUACUUUUUCGUGGGGGAUAACGUAGGGAAACUUACGCUAAUACCGCAUACGACCUACGGGUGAAAGCAGGGGAUCUUCGGACCUUGCUCGAUUGAAUGAGCCGAUGUCGGAUUAGCUAGUUGGCGGGGUAAAGGCCCACCAAGGCGACGAUCCGUAGCUGGUCUGAGAGGAUGAUCAGCCACACUGGAACUGAGACACGGUCCAGACUCCUACGGGAGGCAGCAGUGGGGAAUAUUGGACAAUGGGCGAAAGCCUGAUCCAGCCAUACCGCGUGGGUGAAGAAGGCCUUCGGGUUGUAAAGCCCUUUUGUUGGGAAAGAAAAGCGGCAGGUUAAUACCCCGCUGUUCUGACGGUACCCAAAGAAUAAGCACCGGCUAACUUCGUG